GACGAACGCUGGCGGCGUGCUUAACACAUGCAAGUCGAACGGAAAGGCCCUGCUUUUGUGGGGUGCUCGAGUGGCGAACGGGUGAGUAACACGUGAGUAACCUGCCCUUGACUUUGGGAUAACUUCAGGAAACUGGGGCUAAUACCGGAUAGGAGCUCCUGCUGCAUGGUGGGGGUUGGAACGUUUCGGCGGUUGGGGAUGGACUAGCGGCUUAUCAGCUUGUUGGUGGGGUAGUGGCUUACCAAGGCUUUGACGGGUAGCCGGCCUGAGAGGGUGACCGGCCACAUUGGGACUGAGAGACGGCCCAGACUCCUACGGGAGGCAGCAGGGGGGAAUAUGGCACAAUGGGCGGAAGCCUGAGGCAGCAGCGCCGCGUGCGGGAUGACGGCCUUCGGGUUGUAAACCGCUGUCGCCUGUGGCGAAGCGUGAGUGACGGUAAUGGGUAAAGAAGCACCGGCUAACUACGUG
rnacentral:rRNA from 1 species